rnacentral:rRNA from 1 species
GACGAACGCUGGCGGCGUGCUUAACACAUGCAAGUCGAACGGAAAGGCCCUGCUUUUGGGGGGGGCUCGAGUGGCGAACGGGUGAGUAACACGUGAGUAACCUGCCCUUGACUUUGGGAUAACUUCAGGAAACUGGGGCUAAUACCGGAUAGGAGCUCCUGCUGCAUGGUGGGGGUUGGAAAGUUUCGGCGGUUGGGGAUGGACUCGCGGCUUAUCAGCUUGUUGGUGGGGUAGUGGCUUACCAAGGCUUUGACGGGUAGCCGGCCUGAGAGGGUGACCGGCCACAUUGGGACUGAGAUACGGCCCAGACUCCUACGGGAGGCAGCAGUGGGGAAUAUUGCACAAUGGGCGGAAGCCUGAUGCAGCAACGCCGCGUGCGGGAUGACGGCCUUCGGGUUGUAAACCGCUUUCGCCUGUGACGAAGCGUGAGUGACGGUAAUGGGUAAAGAAGCACCGGCUAACUACGUG